GUAAUAACUAGUUAAAAUAUUAAUAUUUUGAAAAAAAGUUCAUUAAGGUAAAAAUUGCCUAAAAAUACUUAAUAUCAGGGUUCUAAAAUAGUCUAAAAGUGCCUACUGGGUAAAAUCCAUAGUACAGGUAAAAAAAGUGCUAAAAUUGUGUGGUCAUCAAAAGUGCUAAAGUGCAAAUGUGCAAUAUAAAUAGAACAAGUAUAUAAAGUGAUAAAAGACACUCAAAAUAGAUAAAACACACAUAGAGAAAGAAGGAAAUAAAUACCAGUACUAUAAAGAAUACACAAGGACACCAAAGACUAAAAAAGUGCUAUAUCCUGACAUUAAGUAGGAAACAGAAAACAAGUAAAAAAAAAAACCAUGGACUCAUACAUUUAAAUCACUUUAUUAAAAACUCCAAAAUCAAUUGUUCAUUUAGUUUCUCAUUUAAACCGUUGGGACUAAUUGUUUUCAAUUUUAAUAUCCAUUUUCUUUCUGCCCUUUUUCUCUGUUUUGAGGUCCAGCCUGGGUUCCCCUCCAAGGAGCCAAUGGUGAGGUGUGUUGUGUUAUGUAUUUGAAAGUGUGUGACCAGGUGAGUAUUGGAAGUGUUUUUCUGUAUGUUGUUGAGGUGUUGCUUGAGUCUUGUCCGCAGUGUCUGUCCUGUUUCACCAAUGUAAAUGAGAUGGCAAUGUGUGUGUGAACAUGUAAUAGCAUAAACCAGGUUAGAGCUGUCCGGGUGCAAGGAUGUUGUAGGGGCUGAGAGGAAGCGUUUGGAAUAUUUGCGAGACCGGAGAGCUGAGAAGAGGACAGAGGUGGCUUCAUGGAAAUCUGCAAGGAGGAACCUCAAAGGGAACAGUCCAGGUGUCGGGUGGUUUAUGGAUCUUUGGAAGAAGAUAGAACUGGC